rnacentral:misc_RNA from 1 species
UUUCCGUAGGUGAACCUGCGGAAGGAUCAUUAAACAUUUUUGGCCGUAACAAGCCUUAAACCUUAUCUAUACGUACCUCCACAUUCUCCUUCGGCGGGGUAACACCCGCCGUCGGAACAACAAACCCUCUUUGCAUCUAGUAUUCUACCAGUUCUGAUAAAAAAAAUUAAUCGUUACAACUUUCAACAAUGGAUCUCUUGGCUCUGGCAUCGAUGAAGAACGCAGC